UUUUCUGCCAGGGGCUGGUGGAUUCGACAGCGAGCAAGCCAGAGUGUGCUCUCCAAGGCCGGUGAUGUGCUGAUGUGCCACUGACGGGGGUUCACGAUCAUCCAAAGGAAGCCCUUUCCUGUCCCUGACCGCGUUAGCCCAGCUCCUGACUCCGCGUGCAACAGACAUGAUGAUCACACAUCGGCUGCAAAGAGUUUUGGAGGUCAGAAGACUGCAAUCAAUGUCACCGGGAUGAAGUCAGAUGUCAACAGGGCCCGGUCUUUCUGGAGGCUCCAAGGGAGAAAGAACAUGGUCCUCACUGUUUUCAGCUUCUGGAGGCUGCCCACACGCGUCCUCUUCCGACCCUUUCUUCACGUCACUCGACCUCUUGCUCCCAUCAUUUUCUCUCUCACAUCCCUCUGAUUUCCUUCCCUCCUCUCACGAGGAACCCUAUGAUCGGUGCCUUCGAGGAUUGCGGGG